GCUUGUAGGAAAACAAACUCAGGGCAGUGGUAGAAAGCCCUGCAACACCUAUAGCCGUCACAGUGUGAAAUGCCAAAAUAAUAAGCUUAUUGCUCUCUGUCCUUCUAGGUUAUUGCAAGUUACUUUACCUUUUGACAGAGGGCAGGUAAAAAUAAGUCUUAUAAUAGAGUUGUCGCAGAGCACUAAGGUGCCCUGCUCCUAAACAGGGGAAACUGCUAGGGAAAGAGCCCUAGCAGUGAGUCAGGAGCCCAGCUGUUAGUCACCAGGGCAACUAGAGUAGUUAGUGACCCACACCUGUCAGCGGUCAGCUGAUCAAAGGGGGGCAGGGCCUGGCACAUAUAAACCCCUUGCCAGCAGCCAGGGGGGAUGGAGCUCUCUCUGAGCAAGCUGAGAGGAGUGGCCUGACUGCAGGUACAGCCUUGAGCCUGACACUUUUGCUGGAGAAUGUGAGCAUAAAGUGGAUUGUAUUUGGAAGGAUGAUGAUGGCAGCACAGAUUGCAACAUGCCAGUGAGGAACCUGGAGAGCCUGAUUCUUUUGUAGCUUGGGAAUGCUUCGUGUGCUAUCAGGGAUUCAGAAAAUGAACAUGGUACUUAGUCUGGCCCUGUCACAAGUGCCAUCCAUGAACUCUGGAGGUUCCAGCCUUGCUGUCUGUGGACCUGCCUGGCCAGUCAGGGCUGGUAGCUGCAUGUUGUCCAGUGCACCUGGGAUGAUGAGCAGUGGCUGGAGCCACUUUGGAUGACCUGGGCCUCCUUCCAGGAGCUCCUCAACCAGCUUCAACUGUACCUGGAGUGGCAGGUCACCACCA